UGCCUGGGGCAGGGGGCAGCAGUAUCUCCCAGGGUAUGUGGCUGCCCCGCUAGCGUGGCGGCAGUGGUUAUCAGGCCAGGGGUGGGAGCUAACUUUAGUGUGCCUGACUGAGCCAGAGUGGGCUGGCCUUGGGGCUGAGGGACGCUGGACAGGGCCGAGCAGCUGCCCAGACGUGUCAGGGGCCUGAGGAAGGCUUCUAUUAAUGCUGCUCCCUGGGUGUGUCACCGGGGAUGGCUUCUGCUCGGGUUUCAGGGCCCUCUUCCCCUCUGGAAGCCAGAAAUACCCUGGGGCGGGGCAAGGAGAGAAGGCUCUAGAUGGUGACUUGAGACCUCCAUGGAGUGGAGCUGGGAAGGGGCGCAAGGCAGCGGCCCGGGGAAGGCGACAGCCCACCAGUUCUCGGCGGACACAACAUCUUUGUUGGUAUGUGGUGCUGAGGAUCGAACCCGGGCCGCACGCAUGCCAGGCGAGCGCUACCGCUUGAGCCACAUCCCCAGCCCCACAUUAUUUCCUUUUCAACCCUCUUCUCCACUCCUGGGUCCAGAAGAAGAGUUCUGUUUGGGGCAYUCUGCUGAGGCUUCUCAUGUCGUCACAGUUGAUCUUCCCACUAAUCCAUGGGGUGAGAACAACGAUCGCUCCCAUAUUUUAGAUAAGGACACCGGCUCARAGACAUGAAGUAACUUGUCCCAAUUCACACAGCCAGGAAAAGGGCUAGUCCRCCACAGUGAAUGCCCAGUACCCACUGACACCUGCCACGCCCUGCUCAGCUCAGAGGGGCCCUCUGGCUCCACGCAGGUGGCUCCUCUCCAUGGAGAACUCUCAGAAACUGGGCUCUCGGGAUGCUGGUCACCUGGGCUUCCCCACUGCACGCCAUGYACCCCAGGACAGCAGCAGCUGGGGAGCCAGAUGUUUCUGGUGUAUAAAGACAGAACAUGGAGAAAGAAGCUGUUUAAUGAUGGCAUCGUGAGUAAGCGUGGGGUCAUUUGAAGAAAUGCAAAGGAGGGCAUUCCCGGUAAGGAGGGCAGCUGGGGCUGUCUUGUGUUGCCUCCGGAGGUCUUGGAACAUGCACGGCUCCUGGUGCUCACUUGACRUCGGCUGCCGUGACUUCAUGGUCUCAUCAAAGAAGCCCGGCCUCUGCGAGAGGGCAGUGUGGAGCAACUUGUGCGGCGCUUUGCCUCGGUGGUGGUGGUGGGGGGUGUAUGCCAAGUCCUCAGCCCAGCGUGAGUGGAAGCAUUAAAGAUUGAUGGCCUCUUCCUUUGAAGUCGUCUUUGUGUGCCUCGCACCACUUGGCCCGCAGCUCUGGCGAUGGCAGGCCGGCCUCCUUCGCCUCCCUGUUUACUAGAUCUCUUCUAGCAGAMCUUUUCUGUCACAGGGGCCACUGUCAAGCUGUCUGUCUGCCCUCCCAGACACCCCAAGCCUUGCUGGACCAGGAAAGGUGUCAGUGGCCAUGGCCACCCGCAUCUGCUGGGAGCCCGGGCAGGGACACCUCCUCAUGCUCCGCUCAGAUGCUCCACUUUCCAGGACAUCAGGCAGGAGAGCGUCUUAGGGAGGCAGCGGGUGAGUGGGCAGGAGCUGGCUGGGAUGGAGCCAGGCCCAGGAUCAAACCCUGCUGGCUGGUCUCCAGCUGUGUGGCUUCCAGCAGGUCCAGAAGUUCUCUCAGCUGCCCUUUCCUCCUUUGUAAAAUGAGGGCAAUGGGCCUGGAGGGAGCU
rnacentral:lncRNA from 1 species